CGGACGGGUGAGUAACACGUAGAGAACCUACCUUACACAGGGGGACGAACGGCUGGAAACGGCUGCUAAUACCGCAUAAGCACCCAGUUUCGCAUGAAACAGAGUGAAAAGAGUAAAUCGGUGUAAGAUGGCUCUGCGUCUGAUUAACUAGUUGGUGGGGUAAAGGCUCACCAAGGCGACGAUCAGUAGCCGGCCUGAGAGGGCGACCGGCCACAUUGGGACUGAGACACGGCCCAGACUCCUACGGGAGGCAGCAG
rnacentral:rRNA from 1 species